CCUACGGGUGGCAGCAGUGGGGAAUAUUGCACAAUGGGCGCAAGCCUGAUGCAGCCAUGCCGCGUGUGUGAAGAAGGCCUUCGGGUUGUAAAGCACUUUCAGCGGGGAGGAAGGCGUUAAGGUUAAUAACCUUGGCGAUUGACGUUACCCGCAGAAGAAGCACCGGCUAACUCCGUGCCAGCAGCCGCGGUAAUACGGAGGGUGCAAGCGUUAAUCGGAAUUACUGGGCGUAUAGCGCACGCAGGCGGUCUGUCAAGUCGGAUGUGAAAUCCCCGGGCUCAACCUGGGAACUGCAUUCGAAACUGGCAGGCUAGAGUCUUGUAGAGGGGGGUAGAAUUCCAGGUGUAGCGGUGAAAUGCGUAGAGAUCUGGAGGAAUACCGGUGGCGAAGGCGGCCCCCUGGACAAAGACUGACGCUCAGGUGCGAAAGCGUGGGGAGCAAACAGGAUUAGAUACCCGGGUAGUC
rnacentral:rRNA from 1 species